rnacentral:misc_RNA from 1 species
AAGUCGUAACAAGGUUUCCGUAGGUGAACCUGCGGAAGGAUCAUUAUUGAAUGAAUCUAGAGUUUGGUUGUCGCUGGCCUCUCCCAAUAGGGGCAUGUGCACACCUUCUCUUUUCAUCCACACACACCUGUGCACUUGUUAUCGGGGCUUGUUGUUAAAGAUAAGCCCUGCUUAAUCACAUACUCUUAUUAUUUACUUUGAAUGUUUAUCAAGUCGAAAGACUUUUAAAUCAAUACAACUUUUAACAACGGAUCUCUUGGCUCUC